rnacentral:tRNA from 1 species
UGUUCUGUGGCUUAGUUGGUUGAAGCGCCGGUCUAGCGAGUACUGAGUCGUGGGUUCGAAUCCCACUAGAACGC